rnacentral:lncRNA from 1 species
CCCCACAACAAUCAGUGCCUAUCCUGUCCCCGAUGAGCAUUUGCUUUGCUUUCCUUUUCCACCAGCUUUGAUCAGAGUAAAAUCCUCUGUCUGGAAGAAGAGCUGGAGCUGAGUCCCUUGCAGCUCCUGCAAGCGUUGUUCGCUAAUCACAGCUCUCCCCAAGGGGAAGACCAAGGCAGGGAAGCAGAGAAUAAAGACCAGUGGGUGAGACCCUGCAGAAAGUGCAGCCACCAGGAAGUCUGACUCGACAAGAGUUUCAUAGAGCCCUGUUGGAACUGACUGGCUCCGAAAUCUGCAACAACCAAUCGGAGCUGCUUUUGAACAAGGUUGACACCAGCUGCGAUGGCCUUAUUGACUGGAACAAGUUCUGCGCAUACCUGCUGCUCUAUUACAAAGAAAGGGACCCCAUGAAAGCCAAGAAGGCGAUCUUCCUGGGCACGGAGCCCCUCCUCCGACACUGUGUGCAGAACAAGCUGGCACCAACUACCAGAAUAUUGGCCAUCUCUUCUCCACCGCCACUCUGGUUUGUAAGUGUCAGCAAAGGAGGAGUUCUUACUACCUGGGACAGCACUCUGCAUAUUCAGAAAAUGUAUGAGAUUGCAGCAGAUUCCAAAGGCUCUCAAGCAGAAAAAAGAAGAUUGAAAUCCUGGACCACAGAUGCUGCAUACAUGGCAAAUGUCCACAAAAUCACAGUAGCCACCACCUGCAGGGAUAUUCACUUUUUUGAUGUGUCCACGGCAAACCUUUUUGAAGAGUUUCAUUUAUUUGGUACAAGUUAGGGUUUUACUAAUAGGAGGGGCCCCUGUUC